rnacentral:tRNA from 1 species
AGGCCCGUAACUCAAUUUGGUAGAGUGCUGGUCUCCAAAACCAGAUGCUGUCGGUUCGAGUCCGGCCGGGCCUG